rnacentral:rRNA from 1 species
AUGGACGCUGGCGGCGUGCCUAAUACAUGCCAGUCGAGCGAACAGAUGAGGAGCUUGCUCCUCUGACGUUAGCGGCGGACGGGUGAGUAACACGUGGAUAACCUACCUAUAAGACUGGGAUAACUUCGGGAAACCGGAGCUAAUACCGGAUAAUAUAUUGAACCGCAUGGUUCAAUAGUGAAAGACGGUUUUGCUGUCACUUAUAGAUGGAUCCGCGCCGCAUUAGCUAGUUGGUAAGGUAACGGCUUACCAAGGCAACGAUGCGUAGCCGACCUGAGAGGGUGAUCGGCCACACUGGAACUGAGACACGGUCCAGACUCCUACGGGAGGCAGCAGUAGGGAAUCUUCCGCAAUGGGCGAAAGCCUGACGGAGCAACGCCGCGUGAGUGAUGAAGGUCUUCGGAUCGUAAAACUCUGUUAUUAGGGAAGAACAAAUGUGUAAGUAACUAUGCACGUCUUGACGGUACCUAAUCAGAAAGCCACGGCUAACUACGUG